CGCAGUAAUGCCGAUGGUAGUGUGGGGAUUCCCCAUGUGAGAGUAGGGCACCAUCAGG
rnacentral:rRNA from 1 species